rnacentral:rRNA from 1 species
AGAGUUUGAUCAUGGCUCAGAUUGAACGCUGGCGGCAGGCCUAACACAUGCAAGUCGAGCGGUAGCACAGAGAGCUUGCUCUCGGGUGACGAGCGGCGGACGGGUGAGUAAUGUCUGGGAAACUGCCUGAUGGAGGGGGAUAACUACUGGAAACGGUAGCUAAUACCGCAUAAUGUCGCAAGACCAAAGUGGGGGACCUUCGGGCCUCAUGCCAUCAGAUGUGCCCAGAUGGGAUUAGCUUGUAGGUGGGGUAACGGCUCACCUAGGCGACGAUCCCUAGCUGGUCUGAGAGGAUGACCAGCCACACUGGAACUGAGACACGGUCCAGACUCCUACGGGAGGCAGCAGUGGGGAAUAUUGCACAAUGGGCGCAAGCCUGAUGCAGCCAUGCCGCGUGUGUGAAGAAGGCCUUCGGGUUGUAAAGCACUUUCAGCGGGGAGGAAGGCGGUGAGGUUAAUAACCUCAUCGAUUGACGUUACCCGCAGAAGAAGCACCGGCUAACUCCGUGCCAGCAGCCGCGGUAAUACGGAGGGUGCAAGCGUUAAUCGGAAUUACUGGGCGUAAAGCGCACGCAGGCGGUCUGUCAAGUCGGAUGUGAAAUCCCCGGGCUCAACCUGGGAACUGCAUUCGAAACUGGCAGGCUAGAGUCUUGUAGAGGGGGGUAGAAUUCCAGGUGUAGCGGUGAAAUGCGUAGAGAUCUGGAGGAAUACCGGUGGCGAAGGCGGCCCCCUGGACAAAGACUGACGCUCAGGUGCGAAAGCGUGGGGAGCAAACAGGAUUAGAUACCCUGGUAGUCCACGCCGUAAACGAUGUCGAUUUGGAGGUUGUGCCCUUGAGGCGUGGCUUCCGGAGCUAACGCGUUAAAUCGACCGCCUGGGGAGUACGGCCGCAAGGUUAAAACUCAAAUGAAUUGACGGGGGCCCGCACAAGCGGUGGAGCAUGUGGUUUAAUUCGAUGCAACGCGAAGAACCUUACCUGGUCUUGACAUCCACAGAACUUAGCAGAGAUGCUUUGGUGCCUUCGGGAACUGUGAGACAGGUGCUGCAUGGCUGUCGUCAGCUCGUGUUGUGAAAUGUUGGGUUAAGUCCCGCAACGAGCGCAACCCUUAUCCUUUGUUGCCAGCGGU